rnacentral:rRNA from 1 species
CGCGUACUCUUGUGAGCCUUCUGAAAGGAAGAUUAAUACAAGAUGGCAUCAUGAGUUCACAUGUUCACAUGAUUAAAGGUAUUUCCGGUAGACGAUGGGGAUGCGUUCCAUUAGAUAGUAGGCGGGGUAACGGCCCACCUAGUCUUCGAUGGAUAGGGGUUCUGAGAGGAAGGUCCCCCACAUUGGAACUGAGACACGGUCCAA